UACGGAGGGUGCGAGCGUUGUCCGGAAUCAUUGGGCGUAAAGGGCGCGUAGGUGGCCCGGUCAGUCCGUGGUGAAAGCGCGGGGCUCAACCCUGCGUCGGCCAUGGAUACUGCCGCGGCUCGAGCACUGUAGAGGCAGGCGGAAUUCCGGGUGUAGCGGUGGAAUGCGUAGAGAUCCGGAAGAACACCGGUGGCGAAGGCGGCCUGCUGGGCAGUGGGGGCAACCCCUGAAAGCUGACACUGAGGCGCGACAGCGUGGGGAGCAAACAGG
rnacentral:rRNA from 1 species